GAUGAACGCUGGCGGCGUGCCUAAUACAUGCAAGUCGAGCGAACAGACGAGUAGCUUGCUCCUCAGACGUUAGCGGCGGACGGGUGAGUAACACGGGUAUAACCUACUUAUAAUACUGGGAUAACUUCGGGAAUCCGGAUCUAAUACCGGAUAAUAUAUGGAACCGCAUGGUUCAAUAGUGAAAGACGGUUUUGCUGUCGCUUAUAGAUGGAUCCGCGCCGCAUUAACUAGUUGGUAAGGUAACGGCUUACCAAGGCAACGAUGCGUAGCCGACCUGAGAGGGUGAUCGGCCACACUGGAACUGAGACACGGUCCAGACUCCUACGGGAGGCAGCAGUAGGGAAUCUUCCGCAAUGGGCGAAAGCUUGACGGAGCAACGCCGCGUGAGUGAUGAAGGUCUUCGGAUCGUAAAACUCUGUUAUUAGGGAAGAACAAAUGUGUAAGUAACUAUGCACGUCUUGACGGUACCUAAUCAGAAAGCCACGGCUAACUACGUG
rnacentral:rRNA from 1 species